UAGCUGGUUUUAAGCUGAGGUCGUUAAACUGGGGUUUCACACUGUGUGUUUUGUGUGAGGAGUCCCGUGAUCAAAUAAGUUUGUGGAGCCCUGCCAAUUUCAGCUCCUUGUGGGAGAGUCCAAAUGCAAAUCAGCGCCCUAAAGAUCCCGAGAAGGCUUCCGGGGAGAUACCUGGUCACCUUUUCCGAACAGAGCAUCUCCCAGGAUUACUCAGCUCUUUAUUGUGUAAAAGGUAUCCACGCACUUCAAAACUAGUGUUAGCCUAAGGAACUCUGGAGAACGCAAACUCACACAGCUCGCUGACGUCUGCCUGCAUCACCACACGUUUGUACGGUCACUGAGAAUGACUCCGUCCUUCCUGUGAGCCACGCCGCCUUCCCUACGCCGGAAUCCACAUUUCCUCCUUAAUGAGAUCAAGCCAGAUGAGGAAGACUGAGGCUUGCGUACAAGAUGUGGUUUCCUCAAGCCCACAUGGAUUUUCUACCUCUGAAAUCUGUCUUCAUGUGUUUGGCAUGACAAAUACUCCUCCCACCUUCCGCUGAACCGUGGUGUUGAUGGAAUAGUAGAGGAGGACGCCUCUCUUGGCAGCCUGCGGUAGGCGUGGUGGAGCCCCCUGAAGGCUGGAGGAGCCCGGCCCGGUGGUUAGAGAGAAGAGGCUGAGUCACAAAAACCGUUUCCGAACCUAGCAGGCCUAUGUUCGGACAAUCAUAUUCAGAUCUAAGCAUCACUUACCAGAACGGCGAGAUGGUUUGCAACCACCCGAGACUCUCUGCACAUUUGGAAGAUUGAGAAGAAGAGGAGAAUUGGGGAACCACAGGGGAUUGUAGGGUUCCCUCUGGGUGUCACUGCCGAGCCCCAUUUCCUCCUUCUAGGUGGGGUUCCUCUGUAGUGACAUAGUUUGUGCUCCCUGGGAAAAGAGACCCUAAGAUGGAAAUUUGCUUGGAGUGUUCUUCAGAGCAACAGCUGUGCAGGAGGAAAGCAGGCGGGAUUGGGUGGGGGGAGACGGUGGGCUGCAGCGUCGGACAACAAAGACCUCAGCCCACUCCACGGGGAGCUCUGGGGCUGCAGCAGCCCUUUGGGGUUGUCCCAGAUGGAGGCACAGAGAAAGGCCUCUGUGUUACCAGUCAUUGGAUGCGGGCUGGCUACGACCCGGAAGGGCAUAGCAUGAGCAGGCAGCUCCCUUUGCUCAGAGGAAUGACUCAGCCGUGAGCCCCAGCAGGCAGCACUUGUGGCAUUUGGGGGAGUAAAUGUCAGUGUAUUGGUCCUGAGUCUGAUGUCACAUUGGGGGACCCAUCACAGCACCCAUGACAACGAGGACAAGGACAUCGCCACCAGUGGCCCUAGAUUUAUAUUUUUCUAAACCUGUGACUUCAGAGAGAAAAGAGGACCAAUUCUGGCUUUAGUUUUUAAAAGUGUUGGAAAAAUACUAUGACUGGAUUUGCCCUGGUCUCCGACUCUGGCCACAUGUUAAGGAAUGUUGAUCUACUGAUUUUGAAUCUUAUUGACCUUGGUGGCCAGGUGGGUGGAUCUGGUUAGCAGAAGAAACAGUGAAGAACUAUCGUGAAGGGACAGCCACCCAGCUUCUGUCACACCCCCUGUCCCAGGAAUGAGGGAGCUCAUCGGUUCUGUGCGGCACAAGAAGACAAAAACAGAGCGUGUUCAGCUCUACGGAAAGUUGAUUCUCCUUUUGUAACUAAAAGUGCUUUCUGUGGAGAAGAAGCUUCCAGAACUGGAAGUAUUCCAGCAAUGGCCAUGUGUGUAUGUGUCUCUCUCUCC